GGAAAAUACCAUUGCAGCACACUUAAGAAAUGUUCCUGCUGUUCAUUGAGGACUUAUAAAACUGAAGCUGAGAAGCAGGAGAUAAGUGUUGAAGUUUAAGGAGGAAAAGGACAGGGAGAAAGAUGGAGGAAGACAGACCAGUGUGUCAACAGGGAGGACCUCUGAUCAGCUGGGGGGGCAGAAAGCAGUGACCAUGGUCAGUAGACCUGCCCUAUCCCAAAGCCCUGUCCUGGAAUAAUAGCCCCAGCUUCAUACAGAUGCAGCAGACCAUGGUGCGUUCAAGAAGGCCUUUGGGGACCAAGAAAAAAAG
rnacentral:lncRNA from 1 species